GACGAACGCUGGCGGCGUGCUUAACACAUGCAAGUCGAACGGAAAGGCCCUGCUUUUGUGGGGUGCUCGAGUGGCGAACGGGUGAGUAACACGUGAGUAACCUGCCCUUGACUUUGGGAUAACUUCAGGAAACUGGGGCUAAUACCGGAUAGGAGCUCCUGCUGCAUGGUGGGGGUUGGAAAGUUUCGGCGGUUGGGGAUGGACUCGCGGCUUAUCAGCUUGUUGGUGGGGUAGUGGCUUACCAAGGCUUUGACGGGUAGCCGGCCUGAGAGGGUGACCGGCAGUGAGGGAUGUAGGAGGCGGCGAAGACUGCUGCGGGAGGAGAUAGGGGGGAAUAGUGAGAAGGGGGAGGAGGGACGAGGGAGCGCCGGCGGGGGGGGGAGGAGGGUGUUAGGGUUGCGACCCGCUUCCGCCGGGGGGGGAGAUGGGGUGAUGGCAGUGGGAAAAGAAGCACCGGCUAAAUACGUGCCAGGAGGGGGGAUGAUGGUGGAAGGCAACCGUCGGAAC
rnacentral:rRNA from 1 species